GAUGCGGACGGAGAAGAGAAAACUCUCCUUGGGACGUUUGUGUACAAUGUGGCAAAAGAGGCCAUUCAGACCUUCCCUCUGAAGAACGCGCCGCUUCCCAGAGCCUUUUCAUAUAUCAAACUUCUUGUGAAGAGCAACUGGGGAAACCCAGCAUACACCUGCAUUUAUUGAGUGCAGGUUCACAGGAAGAUGGCAAACAAGAAAGCCUCAACUGAAA